rnacentral:rRNA from 1 species
GACGGGUGAUGCAAGCGUUAUCGGGAAUCACUGAGCGUAAAGCGUCUGUAGGUGGUGAUGCAAGUCACUGGUGCAAAACUCUGGCUCAACCGGAGGAAAGCCAGUGAAACUGCAUGACUAGAGUGUGGGAUAGGUAGAAGGAAUUCCUUGAGUAGCGGUGAAAUGCGUAGAUACAGGGAAGAACACCGGAGGCGAAAGCGUUCUACUGGAACACAACUGACACUGUGAGACGAAAGCUAGGGGAGCGAAUGGG